GAUGGCUAGGAUGGCAAGAAAGUACAUCUAAAUCAGAUAAGAGCAUCAUAGAUUUCUUUACAUUUAGUUUUCUUAAAUGUGGUCUUGAGAGCUAACAUCCAAGUACACUGGAGAGUGUGGUAAGUGUGAAAAGAGGUGUGAUUUGAAUGACUUUAUCGUUAUUUGCAGAAACUUGUUACAGUAGAAAUUGUCAUAUUAGGCAAUAGUUAUAAUCAGGACCACAGACUGAGCACAGUCAAUGAUAAAAUAGUUCCAAGAGCAUCAUGAGGUUGAAAUACUGUUCUUGUAAGGUACAAUUAAUCUUAUGUAUAAAUUUGACUCAUUUCAUUUGUUAUAAUGUAUGAGUUUAACAACUCUAUUUAUGAUGGUAGGAAAUGUUUACUUAAUAGACAAAAUAUUUCACAAUUUCAAUGAAAAACAUGUGACAUCACACCAACAGUUUACAUUCCCUAAUUGUUUUUUUUAAAGUGUUUAUAUGUAUUCUCUCCAUUGAUGUUUUGAUCAUCACCAUUGGCUGAUAACUCCUACAACUAACCUCUAGCAUAUGAGAUACAUCCCUUACUUGCUAUUCAGCUAUGCAUUCAGUUUGUGAUGAAACUAAGAAUUUAACAUAAAAGAAGAUGUUAUUCACCUAAACAUUUUAAACUAUAAAUUUUUGUUUACAAUAUUUACCAUAAUAAGUUACACAGAGCCAUUGAAAAAUCUUGUGAGAGUUGUUAAUUACCCUAAAUGCAGAUGACUUGUUGAUAAAUAGUGUUAUUUGUGACCUUAACUUUUCAAAGAGUGUGGCAUUAAACUUUAGAAACAUUAUUUACACAGUUACUAGAAUAAAAGUUGAAAAUUCCAAUUCUUAUGAGUUUUCUCUCAUAAUAGUUUGGACAAGAAUGAGGUGGGAGAAAACUGCAGUUAUUACGAAUGCUGGAAAGUGCUACAUGUGUCCAACUUGUAAUGCUAUUUUUGCUACAACACAUAGACUGCGGAACCAUUAUCUGUAUCAGCAUAAAGCACCAAAGAAACACAUCUGUUCAACUUGUGGCAAAGGAUUCACACGCAGGGCAGACCUUUGGAAACAUCUUUACACUCAUUUUGGGAGUUGAAACUGCAUUUACAUUUCUCAAACUUUCCACAUUAUAUAACCUCAGAAUAAAUUCAAUUACAUAUUGACUCCCUGAUUGUGAAUGUUUUCCAUAUGCUACUGUGUGUGUGUCAACACCUGUAUGACAGAGUUGCUCUAAGGGAGAAAGAACUUGGGAAGAGAGAAUUGUCCUAGAACACAAAGUGCAUGGUUAAUCGACAUAAAUACAUGGUUUGUCAAAAUAUUGGAACUUGCAUAGUGAAAUUGCUGUUCAGAAAGAAUCGAAUGGGAAAAAAUGUUGGUUGAGACACCACAGGGGUAUAGGUAUCUUUGUCCAUCAUGUAGAAAAAGCUAUGCCUCUUCCGAAAGCUUGCGAAUACAUCACUACUAUCAACACAGAAAACAAAACCGAUGCCACUGCAACUACUGUGGUAGAGGUUUUCUCAGAAAUGGUGAUAUGAAGCGACACUCUUUUGGUUGUAAAUUUCAAAAGAUUGAUUAGGUAACAGAAUGUCAAUGAUUUGUCAGUAAUUGUUAACAGAACAUUGUUUGAAAACACCAAGAAAGACAUUUAAUUUGAAUUGUUGGGAUUCUGCAGUUGAUGCACUAGGAUUUUGUAGAGGUCGAAGGGUCAAGUGGUCAUCUAUGGCAGUUCAUACGAGCUCGGGUCAGAGAUGGCUGUGCAGUAUAUGUAUGAGGACUUUCUCUUCACCAAAUUCUCUACGGAUGCAUCACUUGUACAUGCAUAUCUGGCAAAAAAACCAGAAAUGUCGUAAAUGUGGCAAGGGAUUCAAACGACCCCAAGAUCGUAAUCAGCAUGAGCAGUCCUGCAAACGCUGGGUGUAGACAAAAGAAAAGUUGAAAUAUUCUAUGUGUUUGUUUUUUACAUUUAAGCAUAUAUAUAAUUGUUUAGUCACUGAAUAUUCUCGUGAAAAAUUAUUUAAAAUGUUUUGUAAAAGUGAACUUGUGCCUUUCUAAAGAAACUUCUGACUGAACGAUGCUAGACACCCCAGUUGAAAGUAUUAUGUAAACUCUAAAAUCAGCAUAUGAUAUGUAGACUGUAGUUGGCUGUUGGUGACUAAUCUUUCUCAUAAAUAUCAUGAAAUGUUUCAUGCUAUGAUUCACUUUUAAUCAGGCUUGAAAAAUAUGUAUGUUCUUCAUAAAGAUGCAAAACCAAAGCAGGAAACUACUUUUAUCUUUAGUUAAAGAUGGUUUUUGUUAUACUUAGUUUUAUUUAAUUAAAAUCUUGAAUGUUUUUUCCUAACGUUUUAUCUUCUGCAAGUUUUAGAAUUGUAUUUUGUUUUGAAAAUGGCCAUCCAGUUUUUACAGUAUUGUUAGAAUAUCUGUUUAAUUAUUAUCUUUUAAAAAGUUUCAGUUCAACCACAUUGUGCUUUGGUUUUGAUUACCUUUUUCUGAUCUUCUUAAAUAAGGAUAUUGUGCAAGUUUUCACAAAAAGAUUCAGUUUUUAGAAUGUGGGUAAAUACUACAUAGUUUGAUUAUUACAAUUUGAAAUUUGUUCAUGUAAGUUGUUACAAAAGUUUGAAGGAAAAUUAUUGCAAUAUUGUGUAAAGUUUUAGAGUUGUUCUCUAUGUAUGUAAAGAUUUGAAUAGUUUGCAUUGCUGGGGAUAUCAUGCAUAAUGUUUUGACAUUUGAUGAUGUAUUUAUUUAUUAAUUGUAAAGUACUCUCGAAUUAGAAUUAGAUUUAAGUAACAGUCAUUUAAGAACAAACAAUUGGACCAUAUUCAGUCCAAGCAGCUUGUAAAAAUAUAUGUGUAUAAUAAAUUGGAAAAUACAGCAAAAUAGAUUACCCGUGGUAGACAAACUGCCAACUGUUUCAUUUCUUAGCAUUUGUAACCUAUUUCGUGAUGGUCUUUACUGUACUAUGUAAUAAUAUAUGUAUGCAUUAUUUUAUCAUACAGUAUAAAAGAUAAAUAUGUUGUAAUAUGAAAAGUAAAUUUACUGCUGUGUAUUUAUUAAAUUGGUGUGACAAAAUUGUUCAGAUCUGAGGCUACUAAGAUUUUUGUUAAACUAUGAAUAAAACCUUGCUUUGAGACGCAGGAAGCAUGUGUGUUUGUGAAAAUCAUUUAGAAACACUUUUCUCUUUGACUGAAGUUUGAUGUGGUUAGACAAGUUCAAUAAACGUUUUUAUAAAGCAUUUUACACUAUUUAGUUUCUUAAUAAUAGGGAAUAAAAGGUUAUAGGUAAUAGCCAUGUUUCAUAAAAGUUUCUAUUGUGAUGAAAUAUGAAGAUCUUUGUUCUUUUUAUUGGUUGACAUUAACAUUUUUUCAGGUCGAAGGGUCAAGUGGUCAUCUAUGGCAGUUCAUACAAGCUCUGGUCAGAGAUGGCUGUGUAGUAUAUGCAUGAGGACAUUCUCUUCACCCAAAUCUCUCCGAAUGCAUCACUUAUACAUGCACAUCUGGCAGAAAACUCAGAAGUGUAGUAAAUGUGGUAAAGGAUUUAAACGACCUCAAGAACGUAAUCAUCAUGAACAGUCAUGCAAACAGGCCUUUAAUAAAGAGCAAAUAUGUUUUACAUUUCCCCACUUUUCGUAAAAUUCGUGACUUGAAAUGGUUAUGUGAAUUGUGUAAACAAUAUAUUUAUGUUUACAUGUACUCUAAGUUAAAAGUGUGCUUGGGCAGUAAAGAUUAUUCCUGUCAAACAAUUUAAACAAUGAAUCUUAACAUCUUACAAUUAUAUAUACCACUUAUAUCAGGGUCAGAUUGUGCUUGACAGCUCUCAGAUUGGUAUAUAUUUUAUUUUCUUCUCAACUUUACAAUUGUAGAAAUUAUUUUUUUGUGUGUGUGUGUAGGACUUAUUAAUUCGACUUACUAAAAACUAGUUACUCUUGACUAUUGGUACCAAGAGAAUGAUUAAAUUAGCUAUUAUAUCAUGGGUUCUUUAGCUUCAUUACAAUAUCUACACCAGUUUCUAACAUUUGAGAGAUUUUUUUAAAAAUCUGUUAGAAAUCUCCAUUACUCUUUCACAAGUUUAAUUCAUUUUUCUAAAAUUUGCUAAUGUAAUUAUUAAAAUAUAAUUUGACAAGUAAACUGUACAAUCAUUAAAUACAUUGCUGACAUUAACCCUUUCACCUUGGGCUCAUGCAAUUUGGAGAAAUCAAUUCACAAAUUUUACUUGUACAACAAUACAUGCAUUAACUAUGAGAUUUCUUAACUUAUCCU